rnacentral:lncRNA from 1 species
GUGGUCCCAUUUACUGAGGUGGGCAGCUCUGGGGAAGAGGGAAUGGGGGGCAGAUGGAAAUAAAAUGUCUCAUCCUGACAUGUUCAGUUAAUAUCCCUUUUACACAUCCAACUGAAGACGUGAGGUAAGAAACUGAAUACACAGGUAUGGAAUUCAGGGGACAUUUCAGAGCCAAGGAAAGACACUUGAGAGUCAUCAGCCAACAGAUGAUAUUUAAAGCCACAAGACAGGACGCAGCCACCCAGGGAGUGAACGUUGACACACGAGAAGAGGUGGAGGACCGAGCCCCAAGAUUGAUAUCAAUGGCAGAUUUCUCAGUCUCUCUAGCUGUAAUUGCUCCAAAGUCAUGCUUAAAGCCAGCGUCCAUCAGCUCUUCCUUAGAUCAGUUCACAGCCCUGUGUAAUACUGAACAAGCCCUGGGGUUCCUACUCUUCCAGGAGUAGAUCUGUGCCAGCCAGCUACUGGUUUGCUCUAGAUCCAUCCCCACCCUUCUCUGAUCUGCCCAGAAUCUCAAGAGACUACAUUUCCCAGGCUCCUCCACCCUCUAGCUUUCUGAAAGAAAUGCCGCAUUUCAGUUAGAGGUCGGAGAAAAUAAAGAUGUAGCUGUUUCUCCCGUUCCCACGCACAAACUCCAUGGACCGCAUCUUAAGAAGCCCUGCAGAUGGAGUGGAAUAUUACACAGUGGUCAAGAGACUGAACUUUUGACUCAGACAGCCUGGCUCCCAACCUCGGCUCUGGCACUUGUUUUGUGACCUUUCCAAGUGACAGUCUCCUCAUCUGGAAAAUGAGGAGCCAGCCCGACAUCCCCCAGCUGUCCUGAGGACUAAAGAACUCCUGUGUGUGGAUUCCUUAGCCCAGCACCCCAAACCUGGUGUACGCUCAGUGGGCAGCUGUUCCAUUAACAUGGGAAUCAGUAAUACGGAGCCAGCCUGUGCUCUGGACGAGGUUCUGGGCAGAGAAGUGUCAUCUCAUCUCUGUUCUCCACAGGCAGGGAGGGUCUCUCAGCUACUUUGGAACUCAGAGAGAUGCCUUUCUCACGCUGGAUUCUGAAGCCCAGCCAGGGUCCUAGCCUCCAUGACCAGAGAGACAGAGAGUGGAAGGGAAAAGCCAGGCCCGAGGGAAUAGGGCCUUGCGGUGACACACUGGUCAAAGGAUGGCGCUAUGUGAGGAGUGACAAGGGCAGGGACUGGCCAGCUCCAAGAGGUGCUCCCAGG